CGGAUCUCAGAUCAAGCAAGAGGACCCGCCGAAUUUAAGCAUAUAAUUAAGCGGAGGAAAAGAAACUAACUAGGAUUCCCUCAGUAACGGCGAGUGAAGCGGGACUAGCUCAGGAUGUGAAUCUGCGCUUUUAUGGCGCCGAAUUGUGGUCUGUAGACUUUGACGUUAUCUGCCGGGCCAAGUUCCUUGGAAAAGGACAGCUGAGAGGGUGAAACUCCCGUCCGCCUGGUAGAAUGAGUCUUUGUCAACGAGUCGAGUUGUUUGGGAUUGCAGCUCUAAUUUGGUGGUAAAUUCCAUCUAAAGCUAAAUAUUGGUGGGAGACCGAUAGCGUACAAGUACCGUGAGGGAAAGAUGCAAAGAACUUUGAAAAGAGAGUUAAAGAGUACCUGAAAUUGCUGAAACGGAAGCGAAGGAAACCAGUGUUUGUUGGUUCAUAUUUCCCUGGCCACUUGUGGUUUGGGCGCUGUGAGCUUGCGUGGGUUUGGGUUGGUUGAC
rnacentral:rRNA from 1 species